rnacentral:tRNA from 1 species
GGUCUGGUGGCUCAGUUUGGUUAGAGCGCUGCGCUGAUAACGCAGAGGUCGUGAGUUCAAGUCUCACCUAGACCA